UGAGAAGCACCUGUCCUAGACUCUGAAACAAGAGAAAGCUGCACAGAAAGCAGAGACAGUGGAUAAUUCUUCAGGAAUGAAGCCAAAGAGCAAGAAAGCUUAAAUAACAAUCCAAAGGAGAAGAGGGGGAUUUGGGGGAGACCCUCCUUUCAACCAUUACUUGGAAGAGAAAAACAAGUGAGCAAAGAAGAGGAGGCCAUAAUUGCCCUACCUUGAUAAUCUCUGUUAAUAUAUUCAGCAGCAGAUGGGUAAGAUUAGAAAUUGUCAAUCCAUUUGGAAAGGUACAAAUAAAAAGUGAAAGCCUCCCUUCCACAGGAAUGCCAUCCUGAAAA